rnacentral:rRNA from 1 species
AGGGGCAGCGGGGGCGUAGCAAUAUGCCUGCCGGCGACCGGCGCACGGGUGAGUAACACGUAUGUAACCUGCCCUAUGCAGGGGGAUAACCCGGAGAAAUCCGGCCUAAUACCGCGUAAUACCUUAGGGGAGCAUUCUCUUGAGGUUAAAGGAGAGAUCCGGCAUAGGAUGGACAUGCGUCGCAUUAGGUAGACGGCGGGGUAACGGCCCACCGUGCCGACGAUGCGUAGGGGUUCUGAGAGGAAGGCCCCCCACACUGGUACUGAGACACGGACCAGACUCCUACGGGAGGCAGCAGUGAGGAAUAUUGGUCAAUGGCCGAGAGGCUGAACCAGCCAAGUCGCGUGAGGGAAGAAUGUCCUAAGGAUUGUAAACCUCUUUUGUCGGGGAGCAAAAAGGCUCUGCGGAGUCGUAUUGAGAGUACCCGAAGAAAAAGCAUCGGCUAACUCCGUGCCAGCAGCCGCGGUAAUACGGAGGAUGCGAGCGUUAUCCGGAUUUAUUGGGUUUAAAGGGUGCGCAGGCGGCGUGUCAAGCAAGCGGUAAAAUAGCGGGGCUCAACCCCGUCGAGCCGUUUGAACUGGCGCGCUUGAGUUCAGGCGAGGUAGGCGGAAUUCGUGGUGUAGCGGUGAAAUGCAUAGAUAUCACGAAGAACUCCGAUUGCGAAGGCAGCUUACCAGUCUGCGACUGACGCUCAGGCACGAAAGUGUGGGUAUCGAACAGGAUUAGAUACCCUGGUAGUCCACACAGUAAACGAUGAGCGCUAGGUGUCCGGGUCGAAUGAGGCUUGGGUGCCCGAGCGAAAGCGUUAAGCGCUCCACCUGGGGAGUACGCCGGCAACGGUGAAACUCAAAGGAAUUGACGGGGGCCCGCACAAGCGGAGGAACAUGUGGUUUAAUUCGAUGAUACGCGAGGAACCUUACCCGGGCUCAAACGACUCAGGAAUAUAUUGGAAACGAUGUAGCCAGCAAUGGUCUGAGUCGAGGUGCUGCAUGGUUGUCGUCAGCUCGUGCCGUGAGGUGUCGGCUUAAGUGCCAUAACGAGCGCAACCCCUACCGCCAGUUGCCAACGGGUAAAGCCGGGAACUCUGGCGGGACUGCCGGCGCAAGCUGCGAGGAAGGCGGGGAUGACGUCAAAUCAGCACGGCCCUUACGUCCGGGGCGACACACGUGUUACAAUGGCAGGUACAGCGGGAAGCCACCUGGUGACAGGGAGCGGAACCCGAAAGCCUGUCUCAGUUCGGAUUGGAGUCUGCAACUCGACUCCAUGAAGCUGGAUUCGCUAGUAAUCG